CGCAUAUUAAAGUUGUUACAGUUAAAAAGCUCGUGGUUGGAUUUGUGGCGUAUGGUGUGUUCCGGGCACUUGUUGUCUGAGUAACCUGCUGUUGCCAUCCUUGGGUGGAACCUGUGUGGCAUUAGGUUGUCGUGCAGGGGAUGCCCAUCAUUUACUGUGAAAAAAUUAGAGUGUUCAAAGCAGGCUUAUGCCGUUGAAUAUAUUAGCAUGGAAUAAUGAGAUAGGACUUUUUUACUAUUUUGUUGGUUUGCGUAAAGAGGUAAUGAUUAAUAGGGACAGUUGGGGG
rnacentral:rRNA from 1 species